ACGGGGGGAGGAAAGUAGGGGAUCGUAAGACCUGGCGUUAAUGGAGCGGCCGAUAUCUGAUUAGCUAGUUGGUGAGGUAAAGGCUCACCAAGGCGACGAUCAGUAGCUGGUCUGAGAGGACGACCAGCCGCACUGGAACUGAGACACGGUCCAGACUCCUACGGGAGGCAGCAGUGGGGAAUUUUGGACAAUGGGGGCAACCCUGAUCCAGCCAUUCCGCGUGAGUGAAGAAGGCCUUCGGGUUGUAAAGCUCUUUCGCAAGGAAAGAAAACUUAUCCUCUAACAUAGGGUGAGGUUGACGGUACCUUGAUAAGAAGCACCGGCUAACUACGUGCCAGCAGCCGCGGUAAUACGUAGGGUGCGAGCGUUAAUCGGAAUUACUGGGCGUAAAGCGUGCGCAGGCGGUUCUGUAAGUCAGAUGUGAAAUCCCCGGGCUCAACCUGGGAACUGCGUUUGAAACUACAAAGCUAG
rnacentral:rRNA from 1 species